rnacentral:rRNA from 1 species
GACGUAGGGCGCGAGCGUUGUCCGGAUUUAUUGGGCGUAAAGAGCUCGUAGGCGGCUUGUCGCGUCGAAUGUGAAAUCUCAGGGCUCAACUCUGACAUUGCAUUCGAUACGGGCAGGCUAGAGUUCGGUAGGGGAGACUGGAAUUCCUGGUGUAGCGGUGAAAUGCGCAGAUAUCGGGAAGAACACCCGUGGCGAAGGCGGCUCUCUGGGACGGUACUGACGCUGAGACGCGAAAGCGUGGGGAGCGAACAGG